GAUGAAGAACGCAGCGAAAUGCGAUAAGUAAUGUGAAUUACAGAAUUCAGUGAAUCAUCGAAUCUUUGAACGCACAUUGCGCCCGCCAGUAUUCUGGCGGGCAUGCCUGUUCGAGCGUCAUUUCAACCAUCAAGCCCCAGGCUUGUGUUGGGGACCUGCGGCUGCCGCAGGCCCUGAAAACCAGUGGCGGGCUCGCUGUCACACCGGGCGUAGUAGAUUUUAUCUCGCUCAGGGCGUGCUGCGGGUCCCGGCCGUUAAAAGCCUUUUUUUACCCAAGGUUGACCUCGGAUCAGGUAGGAAGACCCGCUGAACUUAAGCAUAUCAAUAAGCGGAGGA
rnacentral:misc_RNA from 1 species